UAAGAGAGAAAAAGAGAGAGAAGAAGAGAAGAAGAAAAAUUCUUCUUUCCUUCUUGGUGGUCUGGUUCAGAUCCCGUUCGAUUUGUGCGAAGGAGUUCACGCAGCGAUCAUCUUCUUCGAGAUCUAGAAGAAGAGAUGCAGAUCCAAAGCUGAAGAUCGAGAUAUGUAAGGUGCUAACACAUCAAUGAUCUCAGUGCUCCAAUCAGGCAUCUUUGUAUAGAUGUCAGC
rnacentral:lncRNA from 1 species